rnacentral:rRNA from 1 species
UACAGAGGGGGCAAGCGUUGUUCGGAAUUACUGGGCGUAAAGGGCGCGUAGGCGGCCAACUAAGUCGAACGUGAAAUCCCCGGGCUCAACCCGGGAACUGCGUCCGAUACUGGAUGGCUUGAAUCCGGGAGAGGGAUGUGGAAUUCCAGGUGUAGCGGUGAAAUGCGUAGAUAUCUGGAGGAACACCGGUGGCGAAGGCGGCAUCCUGGACCGGUAUUGACGCUGAGGCGCGAAAGCCAGGGUAGCAAACGGG